GCGCCAUCAUACAGGUCACCGUCCUCCAGACCUGACUGUGGACACAAGGUCACGGUGAUCAAGCCCAGACCUGGCUGAGCAAGGGCCACUGACCUGGAUAUUGAGCCGUCCUCGGUGUGCUCCAAGACCAAAGGACUGGCUGCUGGAGGCCUCCAGCUGGCUAUCUGAAACCCUCAAGGACUCCAAGCCUAGAGGGGGACAUCCUGGGGUAAGGAUAGAACAGUGAGACAGGAUUAGAUAGAGGGUAACCAGAGAGGCUCGAGAACGGAGCCUAAGCUUGUUCAUAGGCUAGGCGGGGCCCCUGGGUAAGCAAUACCUGGUUCUUGUUUCUCAGGGAGAGUGAGGGUCUUUGCUGGGUGAGUGGGCACCACAGGCCUAGCAGUCCCCAAGGGACCAGGGUGCCUUAGCUUCUUUCGCUUCUUGACAACGAUCUUUUUUUUCUUGAUGACUCGAAGCCGGACAUGCCGUUCUGAGGUCUCUAGGGUACCAGGGGACAAUGUACCAAAGAAGAGAAGAAUGUCAUGAAACCCAGACGGAAAGGUCUGCUAGCCCAAGAAGGCAUUUGGGCAUAUGUGACACCUACAACAAUUACUGACAUCCUAGCACAGCACACAAGACCUGUUUCCUAACUCCA